GGGAGAACCAGCGGCAGCAGCGAGGCACACAGCUCUCCGAGCCCCUGAACCCCCGCCAGGCUCCUCCUGUGCGGGCUGCCACGUGACAAGGCUGUGCUGGCCACAUAGCCCCAUAGGACGGCGGUCACCGGGGUGAAACUCCUGCCAAGUCUCCUCACCAUUUGUAUCUUUGACUUGCCUGGACCACUUCCUCGUGGCCUCCUCCUGUUUUCAAGGAAACCACUUUUUGUGAAGUGCUGUACCGCUAUCUCUGAAGGCCUGUGUGCCGGGAACAUUCGCCUAGGUUAGAGGAUGCUGAGUCCAGAUGGGGAGGAAUGGCCACCCUCACAGAGCUCUCAGCUGCCUUUUGCAUUUGCCACUGAGCUCCGGUAUUGUACUCCUCAAGAGCGGUUUUGGGCGCUGAUUUCCCAGCUCUUCAUUGGGGAGGUCCUGGUGCCCCCUGGCUUCUCCUUUCCGCGUUGGCUUUACAUAGUUUGAGGUGUCCCGGCGCCGGCCUCCCCUGAAACACUGCAUCUUCUUCCAGGAACGAGGGAUGACCUCGGGCUGCGGCUACUACUGGUGGGGUCUGGCCGGGUCCCACCGUCAAGAGGGUGGGCUUGGGUCUGAAUCAUCUUGGUAACCCUAGUCCCUGUGACAGGGCCUAGCAUAUAGCAGGUACUCGGUGAAUGUUUGGAGGAUAAAUGAAUGAAUAAGCAAGUGGAUGAUGACAGGUGGGCUCAGCAACUCUGUCCACCCCGAAGUCCUCAGUGAUGACCUGACCCGAUAUGCUUCCCACAACAGAGCCCCAGCCGCAGCCUCCGGGCUCUCCUUCUCCUCCCACGCCAAGAAAGGGGUGCAGACUGCACAGAGGCUCCCCUUUGAGGACCUUGCUGGGCUGGGGCCUGGCGGGAACAACAACGGACUCCCAUGCUCACCCUUGCCUUACCCCGACUCUACAGUCCCUUGCUUCAGAUGUCUUUGUGGGCUGACAUACAUAGGCUCCCUGCCCAGCGUGGAGCUCAACAUGGGGCUUGAACUCACACCCCUGAAAUCAAGACCCGAGCUGGGAUCAAGUCGGACACCUAAGCAACAUGAGCCACUCAGGCGCCCUAACUGCCUGUUUCUUAGUGGACUGUGCGCCUGAUGGAUGUUGGCUAAAAUGAAUGUGGGCUUAGUAAGGAGGCACGGGCUGGCCUCACUGAUUCUCUUAUUCCUCCCAACACCUGGCACUUGGCAGAGCACUCUUAAGUCGAGAAUUAGUUUAAAUGGAAUGAAGAGGAGACAAGCCUGCACCCUCCUCCCGGCCCCCCCCCCCCACCAACUUCUUUAUCCCAGAGAAAAUGGAAUUGCCCAGAGCCACAUGCUCCACAGGCCUCCCCAGGUGGGGCUGGUACUCCUGGGAAAACCCGUGCUUCCUUUCCCAGCACCCUUCCUCGCUCUGCUCCCAGUCUCUAUUCUGUAGGGACCAAACGCUGGAGUCUCUCCCAUCCCAGCCUCCCACCCAGCAGCUGUGGGAGAUCUCCGGGCCCCACACUCCCACAUUCCCAGACAGCAUCUCAGCUGUCCCGCUCUGUGCAGCCCGGACCACCUCCUCGAGGCCUAGGUGUGUGGCAGGGUCUCGGGAACCCCGCGUGGCUCACCCACCCUGUGGUCUCUCAGUUCUUGGGGUUGAAGCCUCAGUCACCCACGGCUAGCAACCUCCUCCACCAGGAGCCCACUGAGGCUGGAGUGGAGCCAUUGGGCCGCUGGGGACACCUGCCCUCCUUCCCACUACAGAUGUGGUGGCCCUUGACAGUAGAGCUGGAUCUCCUUAGAACCCCUUGGGUCCCCACACCUGUGCCUGUACCUCAUUCUCCUCCUCCUGUGCCAGCCGCUCCUCGAUAAGCGCUGUGGCCCUCUUCACCGCCUCAGAGCCCUCCUCAGAGCCCUCCAUAGUGCCGUCUAUAACCAGCCUCUGCAAGCCACAGGGCCUCAGGGGCUUUAUAAGCCAGGGUACCCCCCCCCCCCCCCCUGGGCGCCUUUGCCAUGAGCUCACCGGCCCAAUUCUCCACCUGCCUCCCCCACCUGUCACCUUCACCCCGGGCAGCCCCAGGGAGCUGGGGGAGGCAGGGACAGUUUGCCCCCCCCCCACCCCCUUGCCUAUUAGAGCUGAAGGACCCAGCACCCCAAGAGCGGGGCUGCAGGAAGGAGCCUGCCCAGCCUCUGUCCUAAGUGCUUGGGUAGAGCUGAGCCUUAGCCAGGACAGCUGGGAGGCACAAAGAACCCGCUGGCUUGCCCCUAACCUUGAUGGCAGUGCCACCUGCUGGAUGCCUGGAAACUGCCCAGCCAGUACCAGUGAGGGCAACUGAAAGCCAACGGUGUGGACCCAAUACAGGCCUGGGUCCCCAGCUGUCAUGAACAGGCCCUGCUUGCCCUGGGGUGAGGCAAACUCUGUUAUGUCUGGGCUGGAGUGUCAAGGCGAUGGGCAGGAGUGAGAGCAGAUGCCUCCCCCUUCGCCUGCGGCUCAAGCAGGCCUUUGCCUCUUUGGGGCCCCACAGCGCCCCCUAGCGAGACAUCACUGUACGUGGCUGCAUGUCCAUUAGCUUCGGACAAACUUUGACCCAUCUGUCUGUCUCAGGAGGCCUCUGCAAAACUGAAAAAGUCUUGCUUCAAGAGGGGUUUCAGGAAGCCACCCGAAAAGGGCCAGAGUACAGUGCCAAGCCCAGUUGACGAGGACACCAUUUCCUCCCAGUUUUGUCAGGCCACCCUGACCGAGGUCCAGCCAUGCUCGCUGAGAAGGAAAACUGUCAGUGGAGAAAAAGCAGACCUGAACUUGCUCAGCUCCAUACCUAGAACUGUGGGAGUGAGCCCCGGGUCGUCCUGACCCAGGAUUAACCUGCCAGUGAGCCACAGACGCCACAGGUUCUGUAACGCUCAAGCGUCCUGCCCUUAGCUAAGCCACCUGAUCAAAGGUCCCCCUCCGACUAGAUGCACACUUUUCCUGAAGGAAGGACAGGCACUGGCUGCUUUUCCUCUCUGGUUCCCUUGCUGGCAAGCUGACAAAUGCUCAUAACCUAAAUUGGUCAGA